rnacentral:tRNA from 4 species
GGGCCAGUAGUUCAGCGGUCAGAACUCCCCGCUCAUAACGGGGUUAUCGCGGGUUCGAAUCCUGCCUGGCCCACCA